AUUGUUGUUCACUCGUUAUCGUGACUGAGUACUCCCCAGCCUUUAUCCUGUGCUACAUUCUCGCUCGACGCCCGAUCCUUGUCUGGUUCUAACCUAAUGUCUCCAUCGAGAGCGUGCACUUAACUAACAAACUAGACAUCCUGAACCAGAGAUCGGCCACUGCAUGAUCGAUUUCUGAUUGGCUCGCGCACGUGGAGUAAAACCGAAAGUAGUUUUUGUUCUUCUCUUUUUUAUUUUGUGUGUUCUGAACUUCGUGUUGUUCAUUAUAUAUUCGGUUCUCAAUUAAUUUCUCUUGCAAUUCUGUUAUUUUAACUUGUUUUGUAAUUAUAUCUUUUUGUAAUAAAUUUUGUUAAUCCGUUGUUGUGAUUGUUUUUGCUGCAAAUUGCUAACUAUUGUAUCUAUAUAUAGUAUUUUCUAUAAAUGGUAUUGCUGUAUCCUUUAAAAAACGAUGAUGUGCGGGGAACAGUUAGUCUACUUCAUGGAAAUGUUUGUAACAAACUUUAAAUUUUUGCACUAUUGUCAUAAUUUUUUAACUUUAUAUUAUUAACUUAUUCAGCGCAUCUGUUUAGAUUUUUAGGAAAUUUAUAUGAUGGAACUCCAGAAUCACAGCUAGAGAAACAACAAGCUCAUCUCAUCUUCUCUUUCUGUAAAAUAUCUUUGUUUAGUCAAUGAUAUGUAUGUACAAUAAAAUUAAUCAUAGAAAUUAAAUUAAAAGUAUAUAAAGUAAAACAUAUACAUUAUAUUAAUUACAGAAUAAUUAUCAUGAUGGAAUACUGUGACAUGAUGAAUAUAAUGAAAUGUUUAAUUUCAAAUAUUCGGAUAAACACAUAUUCGGAAAUAUUCGAAUAAACACAUUUUUUCGGAAUAUUUCCAGUGAAAAAUAUAAGUAGUAUAUAGUUUCAUGUCAUCAACCAGACGUGAAGCCAAAAAUCUAGGGAUUUUUUGACCCUAGCCUAUGUUUAUAACUUCGAUGACAGUCAAGGACCGACGAGUUUACACAAUGGUGCAAUAAAGCGUUGAGUAGCAUACAGGCGUCUGUGGAUAUUCCUACAUUUCUUGGAUUUAUGCGGGACGUUGAAUCGGCGUAUGAGGUUAAAAAUUACGUUCGCCUGUAUCUUGGUGACACUAAGCAGAGCACGGAAUUUGAUAAGCAAUUCCUGGAGAAACGAAGCAAGUGGCGAUCAGCGCAACGUUCUCAGGCACAAACGGAUGAUCUGUGUAAGCCAGCGCUGGCAGUUAAUCCAAAUGCACCUGCACAAUUUCAGGCAGUAAAGGGAAAAUCCAAGAAACCAAAUAAGGGAUAGAUAUUCAAAGUAGAUAACAGAAUUCUUGGCUUCAGUGUAACCGCGGCACCCGAUCGUAUUAAUGUAGGUGACCACGAUUACGGUGAAGGAGCCUGAGCUGUUUUGUCAGUUUACCUCAUGGAAAUGAUGCGUCGCUCGAUUCAUCAAACAGUUCGUUAUUUAUUUAUUGUAAUCAAUACAUGCUAAAUGGAUGCUGAGAGUCCCACCAUGGGUAUUUCUUAAGAUAUAUAAAGACUUUUUAUGAUCCACACACGUGAACGAAGAACUUAUCCCCCCAAAGGCGAUCAUUGAUGAUUGUCUUCAAUCAGGAUCGACCGGAGCGUGGUGUUAUUUUCUUACAUUAUACACAAGAACUCCAUUGUACAUAUUAUUCAAAGAAGAAUAUUUCAAGAAAGAAGACGAAUUUACUUUUUCUUAAGUACACGACAAUUAGAGUUGGAAACUUUUAUAACAUUUCAUCGUCAUUGCGUCAUUUAAAGUACAACAGAUAAAAAGGAAGAUAAAAUAUGCCAAUCGAUAAAUUGUGCAUGUGUGGAAACAUGGUAGUCAAUAGCAUAUGUGUAUGUAAAGGUUUUCAAUGAAAAUGAUGAUUAAAACAUACUUGUGAAGACGGCGGAAAUGACCGUAUUUGUAAACAUAAUAUUGAAUGUACAGUGCGUCAGAUGUUUUUACUAAACGUAUUUAAUACAACGUGAAUCCUAUGGAUUUUCAUCCAGAAGAAAGAGAGAUUUUCUUUGUUUUCUUGUAUUACUCUUAACAAGUUCUACUUUAACGUACAUUUUAAGCACGAAGAAUCUUUCACUUUUUAACAUUUUUUCGUCGUCAUACAAAUACUUAUAGUGAUAAAAUACUCUACGCAGAAUUUUAAGCACACGUGAUGUUAAUAUAUCUGAUUAGAAUCCCGAAUAAGUUAUGUAUAUGUCAGAAAUUUUAAACUUAUAUCGAAAGCAGGAAGUUGCGAUAUUAUAAUAAACAAAGAGAUAUGAUGAGCGAGAAAAAAUAGUGAUUCGACAUACUUUUCUGAUAUUAUGAAAACCUUUAGAAAAUAAAACUAGCAAUUCAGCAUAUAGUAUUCCUCAGAAUUUUUGAUUUUGCAAUAACAGCAAUAGCAAUUAAAAAUAAUAUUCAUAAUGUGCAUUACUACUUCCUCACCUUGGCAGCAUGAAAAAUCCUGAUAUCUUCCGAUUGCUGCGUAUACCUAUGUGUGGAUCUCACUGUCGUCAGCAUAGUCUUGUACACAUUGUGGUCAAUCUAAUGCUAAAUUCAAGAUAUAAAAAUUUCUGAAAGAUUUAAAUGAUACAUGUGUAAAAGUGUGUAUUAUAAACUUUUACUCGGUAAACUCUUUAAAUCAUAGCUAGCUCUAUUAAUACCUUGUUAGGACUUAACAUUUAUUUUCAUUUUCUAAUUGGACUAGACGUUGAAAAAACGUGGAAUGUUGUGACAGAUCUGACUACUGGUAAUAAUGUGAUGGUUGUUAUUAAUUAAGAUUCAUUGAUCUUCUCUUAGGAUCAAAAGUAGGAGAAAACCAUGAAUCCUUACAAGAGAAAAAUAUAUGUAUGAAUAGAUUAAUGUACAGAAUAAGCAGUGAUGAUUAAACAAAUUGAUUUAAAUUAAAAUAAUUAAAAUGCAGGUAACUGAUAUUGUAUCAAUAUUCUAUUAUAGUAUCUAAUCUAUAUAUAACGUAAUAAAAUGAAUAUUAUUAUA